rnacentral:lncRNA from 1 species
GUCUUCCAUGCAGGUGCAUGCAGGCCUCUUGGUGACGUAGCCAGCUGUGGGUGGGAACUUUUAAAGAAAAAGAAAAAGCCUGUGCGGGACACACAGUGAGUGGUCUGGAUGUUCCGCGAAGGCCUGUGGCUGAGGAGCCCGACACGGCACUCGACCCGGAGACUCGUCAGAGCCCGUGUGGGAAUUGGCAGAGCAGAGUCAGCCGAGGAGCUGUGGGGCCAGGCUACUGGGACCGAUGCAGUGUGGUGUGCGCGGGUCACGCAGGGCUCCGGACUGAGAAUGCUGUGGCGGAAGAAGGGCUGCCUUGGCGGAAGGGCUGCCUCGGCAGGGUCCUUCGGGAAGAGUCCCACGGGGGCUGGUUGCCCAGGACCGGCCACGACCUCGGGGACAUGAG